UUACCGAUACAGUCCUGUCACUAUGGAUAUCACAGCGAUAACCUUGGUAACAACUGCACUAUAAAUAUCAAGCACCGCGAUAAGAUAAACAGCGGAACAGUUACUUUUUUUUUUUGUUGUUGUUAACUCGACUUUUGGAUAAAAAGUGAAGGUAAUUUCAUACGCUUCAGGAUCUAUCAGAAAGUUUCGGACUGCCUUGUAUGCUGACGUUGUGUAUAUGCCAAACAAAAUGAAAUUUUCAAGAUGUUGUUUUCUUUGUGCAUGUAUGGUUUUUAUACCAAGUCGUCUGGUUUACAGCACUUCAUCACGUAAGUAGGCAGAUGAAUAGACCGCUAAAUCUGUUUCAAAU